GACAGAGGCCUCAAGCGUUAGGCGGAAUCACUGGGCUUAAAGCGUGUGUAGGCGGAUCGUUAAGUACCUUGUGAAAUCCCACGGCUCACCCGUGGAACUGCUGGGUAUACUGGCGGUCUUGGGCCAACUAGGGGCAGCUGGAACAAGCGGUGGAGCGGUGAAAUGCGUAGAUAUCGCUUGGAACGCCGAAGGUGAAAACAGGCUGCUGGGGGUGUGCCGACGCUGAGACACGAAAGCCAGGGGAGCAAACGGG
rnacentral:rRNA from 1 species